rnacentral:rRNA from 1 species
UGGGGAAUUUUGGACAAUGGGCGCAAGCCUGAUCCAGCCAUGCCGCGUGCGGGAAGAAGGCCUUCGGGUUGUAAACCGCUUUUGUCAGGGAAGAAAUCUUCUGAGUUAAUACCUCGGGAGGAUGACGGUACCUGAAGAAUAAGCACCGGCUAACUACGUGCCAGCAGCCGCGGUAAUACGUAGGGUGCAAGCGUUAAUCGGAAUUACUGGGCGUAAAGCGUGCGCAGGCGGUUUUGUAAGACAGAGGUGAAAUCCCCGGGCUCAACCUGGGAACUGCCUUUGUGACUGCAAGGCUUGAGUGCGGCAGAGGGGGAUGGAAUUCCGCGUGUAGCAGUGAAAUGCGUAGAUAUGCGGAGGAACACCGAUGGCGAAGGCAAUCCCCUGGGCCUGCACUGACGCUCAUGCACGAAAGCGUGGGGAGCAAACAGGAUUAGAUACCCUGGCUAGUCCACGCCCUAAACGACGUCAACUGGUUGUUGGGAAGGUUCCUUCUCAGUAACGUAGCUAACGCGUGAAGUUGACCGCCUGGGGAGUACGGCCGCAAGGUUGAAACUCAAAUGAAUUGACGGGGU